GGUUUUAGAUAGACCUGAUUAAACCGUACUGAAAUUAUUUAAAUAGACUUGGUUAGUGAGUGAGCAGAUGAAAAUAUGAAUGGGGUUUUAGAAAAGUCAUGCCGAUUCUGCAAGGAGGUAUCUCUGUACACAUGUCCAAGGUGUAAUGCUUCUUAUUGCUCAUUAUCUUGUUACAAAAGUGAACAACAUUUGCACUGCUCAGAAAGUUUCUAUAAGGAUUGGAUAACAACCUAUGUACACAACAACCAGAAAAGUUCCAAAAAUAGUG